GCCUCCUUAUUUUUUGGAUCUAUAUUACAGGAAUGGAUGCUCAGGUGGCUUACGGCUUUCAUCAUUUACGUAAUGAGAAACCUUACCUGGCACAAGGACCAAUUUCUAAUAAGCUGAUCUAUUCUGGUUAUAGUUGCGGUCAAGGUUGGUUCUUUACACCUUGUACAAGUGAUCCACGAUUAAGGGGACUAACAAAUAUUUUAAGGCUGCAUGUCAAAAAGGUCAAUUGCUCAGAAUGGGAGCAAA